rnacentral:rRNA from 1 species
AAGAACGCUGCGAACUGCGAUACGUAAUGCGAAUUGCAGAAUUCAGUGAGUCAUCGAAAUUUUGAACGCACAUUGCACUUUCGGGUUAUGCCUGGAAGUAUGCCUGUAUCAGUGUCCG